rnacentral:rRNA from 1 species
GGCCAGACUCCUACGGGAGGCAGCAGUGAGGAAUAUUGGUCAAUGGCCGCAGGGCUGAACCAGCCAAGUCGCGUGAGGGAUGACGGUCCUAUGGAUUGUAAACCUCUUUUGUCAGGGAGCAACGAGGCCACGUGUGGCCGAAGUGAGAGUACCCGAAGAAAAAGCAUCGGCUAACUCCGUGCCAGCAGCCGCGGUAAUACGGAGGAUGCGAGCGUUAUCCGGAUUUAUUGGGUUUAAAGGGUGCGUAGGCGGGCGGUUAAGUCAGCGGUAAAAUGUCGGGGCUCAACCCCGGCCUGCCGUUGAAACUGGCGGCCUCGAGUGGGCGAGAAGUAUGCGGAAUGCGUGGUGUAGCGGUGAAAUGCAUAGAUAUCACGCAGAACUCCGAUUGCGAAGGCAGCAUACCGGCGCCCGACUGACGCUGAGGCACGAAAGCGUGGGUAUCGAACAGGAUUAGAUACCCCGGUA